rnacentral:rRNA from 1 species
GGUCAAGCGAAUAAGUGCAUGUGGUGGAUGCCUUGGCGAUCACAGGCGAUGAAGGACGCGGUAGCCUGCGAAAAGCUACGGGGAGCUGGCAAACAAGCAUUGAUCCGUAGAUGUCCGAAUGGGGAAACCCACUCCUUCUGGAGUAUCCAUAGCUGAAUACAUAGGCUAUGUGAAGCGAACGCGGUGAACUGAAACAUCUAAGUAACCGCAGGAAAAGAAAUCAACCGAGAUUCCCAAAGUAGUGGCGAGCGAAAUGGGAUCAGCCUGUACUCUUUAUUUUUGUUGUUAGUCGAACGCUCUGGAAAGUGCGGCCAUAGCAGGUGAUAGCCCUGUAGACGAAAACAGCGAGAAAGAACUAAGUGUACGAAAAGUAGGGCGGGACACGUGAAAUCCUGUCUGAAGAUGGGGGGGGACCAUCCUCCAAGGCUAAAUACUCGUGAUCGACCGAUAGUGAACCAGUACCGUGAGGGAAAGGCGAAAAGAACCCCGGGAGGGGAGUGAAAUAGAUCCUGAAACCGCAUGCAUACAAACAGUCGGAGCCUGGAAACGGGUGACGGCGUACCUUUUGUAUAAUGGGUCAGCGACUUACGUUCAGUAGCAAGCUUAACCGUAUAGGGCAGGCGUAGCGAAAGCGAGUCCGAAUAGGGCGUUCAGUUGCUGGGCGUAGACCCGAAACCAAGUGAUCUAUCCAUGGCCAGGAUGAAGGUGCGGUAACACGUACUGGAGGUCCGAACCCACUAACGUUGAAAAGUUAGGGGAUGAGCUGUGGAUAGGGGUGAAAGGCUAAACAAACUUGGAAAUAGCUGGUUCUCUCCGAAAACUAUUUAGGUAGUGCCUCGUGUCUCACCUUCGGGGGUAGAGCACUGUCAUGGUUGGGGGGUCUAUUGCAGAUUACCCCGCCAUAGCAAACUCCGAAUACCGAAGAGUGCAAUCACGGGAGACAGACAUCGGGUGCUAACGUCCGGUGUCAAGAGGGGAAACAACCCAGACCGCCAGCUAAGGUCCCCAAAUAUAGCUAAGUGGGAAACGAAGUGGGAAGGCUAAAACAGUCAGGAGGUUAGAAGCAGCCACCCUUUAAAGAAAGCGUAAUAGCUCACUGAUCGAGUCGUCCUGCGCGGAAGAUGUAACGGGGCUAAGCUAUAUACCGAAGCUGCGGAUGCACACUAGUUGUGCAUGGUAGGAGAGCGUUCCGUAAGCCUGCGAAGGUGCGUUGAAAAGCGUGCUGGAGGUAUCGGAAGUGCGAAUGCUGACAUGAGUAGCGAUAAAGGGGGUGAAAGGCCCCCUCGCCGUAAGCCCAAGGUUUCCUACGCAACGUUCAUCGGCGUAGGGUGAGUCGGCCCCUAAGGCGAGGCAGAAAUGCGUAGCUGAUGGGAAGCAGGUCAAUAUUCCUGCACCAUUGUUAAAUGCGAUGGGGGGACGGAUCGCGGAAGGUUGUCCGGGUGUUGGAAGUCCCGGUCGCUGCAUUGGAGAAGGCACUUAGGCAAAUCCGGGUGCAGAAUUCAAGGGUGUGGCGCGAGCUUCUUAGGAAGCGAAGCAAUUGGAAGUGGUUCCAAGAAAAGCCUCUAAGCUUCAGUUUAACAAUGACCGUACCGCAAACCGACACAGGUGGGCGAGAUGAGUAUUCUAAGGCGCUUGAGAGAACUCGGGAGAAGGAACUCGGCAAAUUGGUACCGUAACUUCGGGAUAAGGUACGCCCUUGUAGCUUGAUGCCCUGCGCAAAGGGUGAAGGGUUGCAAUAAACUGGUGGCUGCGACUGUUUAAUAAAAACACAGCACUCUGCAAACACGAAAGUGGACGUAUAGGGUGUGACGCCUGCCCGGUGCCGGAAGAUUAAAUGAUGGGGUGCAAGCUCUUGAUUGAAGUCCCGGUAAACGGCGGCCGUAACUAUAACGGUCCUAAGGUAGCGAAAUUCCUUGUCGGGUAAGUUCCGACCUGCACGAAUGGCGUAACGAUGGCCACACUGUCUCCUCCGAGACUCAGCGAAGUUGAAGUGUUUGUGAUGAUGCAAUCUACCCGCGGCUAGACGGAAAGACCCCAUGAACCUUUACUGUAGCUUUGCAUUGGACUUUGAACCGAUCUGUGUAGGAUAGGUGGGAGGCUAUGAAACCGGAACGCUAGUUUCGGUGGAGCCGUCCUGAAAUACCACCCUGGUUUGUUUGAGGUUCUAACCUUGGUCCGUGAUCCGGAUCGGGGACAGUGCAUGGUAGGCAGUUUGACUGGGGCGGUCUCCUCCCAAAGCGUAACGGAGGAGUACGAAGGUACGCUAGGUACGGUCGGAAAUCGUGCUGAUAGUGCAAUGGCAUAAGCGUGCUUAACUGCGAGACCGACAAGUCGAGCAGGUGCGAAAGCAGGUCAUAGUGAUCCGGUGGUUCUGUAUGGAAGGGCCAUCGCUCAACGGAUAAAAGGUACUCUGGGGAUAACAGGCUGAUACCGCCCAAGAGUUCAUAUCGACGGCGGUGUUUGGCACCUCGAUGUCGGCUCAUCUCAUCCUGGGGCUGUAGCCGGUCCCAAGGGUAUGGCUGUUCGCCAUUUAAAGAGGUACGUGAGCUGGGUUUAAAACGUCGUGAGACAGUUUGGUCCCUAUCUGCCGUGGGCGUUGGAUAUUUGAAGGGGGCUGCUCCUAGUACGAGAGGACCGGAGUGGACGAACCUCUGGUGUACCGGUUGUCACGCCAGUGGCAUCGCCGGGUAGCUAUGUUCGGAAGAGAUAACCGCUGAAAGCAUCUAAGCGGGAAACUCGCCUUGAGAUGAGAUAUCCCUGGAGGCUUGACCUCCUUGAAGGGUCGUUCGAGACCAGGACGUUGAUAGGUCAGGUGUGUAAGCGCAGUAAUGCGUUCAGCUAACUGAUACUAAUUGCCCGUAAGGCUUGAUCCU